rnacentral:rRNA from 1 species
CGAACUUCCGUUAAUUGAUUAUGACGUACUUGUACUGAUUGAGAUUUUAACACGAAGUGAGUGGCGAACGGGUGAGUAACACGUGGGUAACCUGCCCAGAAGUAGGGGAUAACACCUGGAAACAGAUGCUAAUACCGUAUAACAGAGAAAACCGCAUGGUUUUCUUUUAAAAGAUGGCUCUGCUAUCACUUCUGGAUGGACCCGCGGCGUAUUAGCUAGUUGGUGAGGUAAAGGCUCACCAAGGCAGUGAUACGUAGCCGACCUGAGAGGGUAAUCGGCCACAUUGGGACUGAGACACGGCCCAGACUCCUACGGGAGGCAGCAGUAGGGAAUCUUCCACAAUGGACGCAAGUCUGAUGGAGCAACGCCGCGUGAGUGAAGAAGGGUUUCGGCUCGUAAAGCUCUGUUGUUAAAGAAGAACGUGGGUAAGAGUAACUGUUUACCCAGUGACGGUAUUUAACCAGAAAGCCACGGCUAACUACGUGCCAGCAGCCGCGGUAAUACGUAGGUGGCAAGCGUUAUCCGGAUUUAUUGGGCGUAAAGCGAGCGCAGGCGGUCUUUUAAGUCUAAUGUGAAAGCCUUCGGCUCAAC